GAUGUACUUUUUGUAUUGGGUUAACAGUGACAGAUCCUACCAGACCCAUCCUUCUUGGCCCUUGGGACCACUGGCAUUGCCCAUGAGCUCCACUCAACCUUGGAAAGAGUUUCUUCUGGAUUACUGGCUACUUAUCACAGAUGGCAUAAGGAACCAGACAGUUUGUGAAACUUAGUUGACUCUCUCGCAAGGAGUGUGGCAUGCAAAUUGUGGAUGGAUCUUCAAACAGGUUGUAGUUGCCUCAGCUAAUCACGUCCCCGCAAACUGCUGUUUUUACCGCAUACACAUCUAAUGAGGCUUGUUGGUUGUUGUAUUUUACUGUUACAAAUAUCAUUCCCACAGGAGUUAUCUUUUCUCCAGUAUAAGUUUGCAGAUGGAUACUGCAGGCUUCGGUUCAGUAUUUUUGAAAUGCCAUUUAAACUCAUUUUGUGGAAUGACCAAAACAGUCAGACCAGUGUCCAAUUCCAUUUCAGUUAAUUUCCCAUUCACUUCUGGUGUAAGCCAUAUUGUUUGUCUAUUGUUAGUUUUCACAUUGUAAAUCUUAAGAUUAGCUAGUCCUGUGUCACUCUCAUUAUUAUGAAAUUUUUCAUCAACGGCAUCUAGAUUAGCGCUCUUUUUGUAACUGCAACCUGACUUUUUAUCUUUUCCUUGUCCCUGUGCUGCAGGAAUUGAACCCGUCACUAGCACUGUGAACCAUAAUGCUAAUCGCUACACUACUAUGUCACCCUAUUAUAUCACCUCCACUACCAGCCCUGGCCGCCAAUUCCAAGCAUCUACCAUUCACUAUGUAAAAAAACUUGUUUUGCACAUCUCCUUUAAACUUUCUGCCCCCUCAACUUAGAUGAUUGUCCUCUAGUAUUUGAUGACGUCUGACAUUUUAAGGGUCAGUGGAGCAGGUGAGGAUGAGAAGUGUCUGUCUCUUUGCCAGUGAGAAGGCAAGACCUCAGGAGCUGUCAGCCAUUAAUUCACUCCGACCAGCUGGAUCUCUCUCUCUCUAUACACGCCUGUGCUGUGGACACAUUCCAUCCACUGAGACCCACACAUGAAUCAUCAGGACUCUCAACUUUGCCAAAGCAAAAAUAAACCUUGCUUAUUUUUUUUUCAGUGGAAAAAUAUUUUGUUUCCAAUUCCAACCUCUCAGACGGGAAAGGAGUCGUAAAAAAUGCAGCUAUGCAACUUGCUGUCAGUGAAGGUCACAUUAGGCAGAGUGAAUCAAUUGUCUUGUUUAAACUGGCCGGGAGAGUUGUUUAAUUCCCCUCACAUGACAUACCUUGUGGCCCAUAUUUCACAUACCUCCAUAUCCUCCCUGCAUUGACAGGACCAGCUCUGAACUCCUCAAGAUGAUAUGAGGUUAAAACAAACAUUGUAAAGAUUAAACACAAGAGAUUCUGCAGCUGCUGGAAACCCAGAGCAACACACACAAGAUGCUAGAACUCAGUAGCCAGGCAGCAUCUAUGCACGGAAAUAAACAGUCGAACAUUCAUGCAGAGACCAUUCCAGGAUCUGCUAUCACCAAUUCCAAAUUUAACUGGACUGUUGGCCUAUGAAUUGGCUAUGCCAGUUCCAAUGAAAGCUCUCACCUCAAUGGAAGAUUCUGUUUGAAAAAUCAUACUCUCUUCUUCAGCAGCUGAGCACAUCUUCUUUCUUAACCUCAGUGUGCUCCAGUACAUUAACCUGUUCUAUGCUAACCUCACAUUCAGUGGUGCUUUCUCAUAUCCCCUUCUAGCUCUCCUAAGUUCCUUCUUAAGCUCCUUCCUGGUUACCUUAUAAUUCUCGAGAGCCCUGCAUGACAUUUGCAUCUUGAGCUUUCCAUUUACUUUGCCCUACCGUCAAGCCAAACCUAUCCAGAGCCCCAUGCGAGUGCUCCCUAAACAGCCGCCCUUCCACAUCUUCAGUCAAAUCUACUUAUGUGCUUCUCAGUGUCUUUGUUGUUAUUUUGGGGGUUGCGCUAAAGAAUACUCUGAAAAGAGUCAUUGUUCCCUUCCUGUUUCUGACUUCCAUAGACAAUCCCUCUACAGUGUCCUCCCUUUCUGCAGCUAGGCUACUAUCUCUGAUUAGCAAUGCCACUCUCCAAUUCUCCCCCACCAUUUACCUCCCCCCCAUCCCUUCUGAAAGAUCUAAUUGGAACAUCAAGCAGCCAAGUCUUUGGUACACAGUAAUGGCCAGAGUGCCUUAGUUCCAUUCACUAAUCCAUGCUCUAAGGUCAUCACCCUCAUUCCUGACAUUUCUUGUGCUGAAGUAGAAAACUCAUUUUAUCUCAUCCAACUGUCCUAUCUACCGCCUGUCCUUCCUCACAGUCUCUCCCCUAUCACACUGGCUCUCAUCCCUGUUUCAACCUAAUUUAAAAACACGCCAACAGCUCUAGCAAACCUGCCUGCUCGGACAUCCGUCUCUCUCAAGUUCUGGUGUAACCCUUCUCUUUUGUAUAGGGUCAUACUCUCCACAGAAGCUAACCCAAUGAACAGCAAAUCUGAAACCUACCCCCUGUACCAACUCAUCAGCCAUCCAUUCAACUACCAUAUCGUCUCAUUUUUACUCUCUAUGAUGCACGGCACAGGCAGCAAUCUAGAGAUUACUGCCCAUGGGGAUAGAAAUCACCCCCGCACCAAUGAACCAGCACCUGAAGAGCCUUGACUCACAGGUCCACAGACUGGGAGCAGGGAAGUAGGAUUAUCAUUGGUUGGUAUGGUCCAUCUUUGGUUAGCAUGAACCUAAUGGGCAGAAUGAUCUCUGAGAACAAUGUCAGUUACUGAAUGUCUCUGGAGGGAGUUCAGAAGUGAGACUGUUGCUACAGUAGGCACUUAGACCAAUUAAUCCCAGUCACUGGGAGGUGGAAAUGGCUGUACAUACCUGAGAAGGAGUCACUGUUAUGUUAUGAUGUUAUUUCAUAGAGUAAUUUUACCACUACGGUUGGUAAAUUCUCAGAUGGUAAUGAGGAGAUGUACAAGAGUGAGAUAGAUUGUCUGGUCGAGUGGUGAUGCAACAGCAUCCUUGCCCCAACAGGCCUCAGCUUCUGGAUUUCUGAUUUGAAUCACAGGCCUAACCCUCAGCAUUGGCUCCAGGACCUACUGAUCAUCGAACGCCAGGCCUCAAACUCCAGGCUCAGCGAUAAUGGGACCCUGAACACGAGGCCUCAAAUCCCGAACUCACCGCUUUGUCAUUGAACCUUCUUCCUCCUGUCCGCAUGGAACUUUGGCUCCAGAAUUGGCUGAUAACUUGCUGACUCUGGGGGAGUCUCCAGGCCUAGCCCAUGCUGGUCUGCCAACUCAACACCCAACUGGACUCCCCACCCUGGCCUUCCCAUGCCCGUGUCACUGGCAUUCAAAUGCAGAGUGCCAGCUUGUUCUCUAACAUGAACCCUAACUCCCCUCGCUGUCCCCAAAAUCAUUAUCACAAACCAAAAGAAACAACUAAAACUGAGUCAUGACCUCAAUGGUUACUAUUGAGCUGCCAAUGGUCAUUGGUGUAAUGUCAGAAAUACCAUAUUUGCUCAGCAAGCUGCGAGCUAUAAUGACUAGAUAAUAAUUUUAGAAUCAUAGAGCACUACUGAAACAGACCCUUUUGCCCAUCUAGUCUGUGCCAAACAGUUAUUCUGCCAAGUUCUGCACCUGGCCAUAACCCCCCGUACUCUCCCAUCCGUGUACCUAUCCAAAUUUCUUUUAAAUGUUAAGUUGAACCUGCAUCCACCACUUUCGCUGGCAGCUCUCCCACACUGUCACCACCCCCUGAGUGAAGAAGUUCCCCGUCAGGUUCCCCUUAACUAGUUUCAUCCUUAACCUCUGACCUCUAGUUCUAGUUUUGCCCAACCUCAGUUGAAAAAGCGUGCUUGCAUUUACUCCUCAUAACUUUGUAUACAGUACCUCUAUCAAAUCUUCACUCAUUUCCUAUGCUUCAGGGAAUAAAGUCCUAACCUAUUCAAUCUUUUCCUAUAACUCAGAUCCUCAAGUCCUUGGCAACAUUCUUGUAAAUUUCCUCUGUACACUUUUAAUCUUAUUGAUAUCUGUCAUGUAGGUAGGUUUUGUUUCAAUCUGUUUUGUGUUAGUAAUAUUGAGUGCUGUUUCAUGCUCUACAUUAAAAGUCCAAUAAGGUACAUGGAACAGGGGAGUUAAGUCUUAAAUAAAUAUAUAAAAGGCAUCAAUUUUUAAUGUGAUGGGCUUCCUUUGGGAUUGUCUGAGCUUUAGUAUUUGAAAGAUUGAUCAUCUUUCUGAUCUUAUUAUCUCCUCCUGUUUUUGCCUUUAGCAGACUCCCAUUAAACUCUAGACACAGCUCACACUGGGUAUAUUUGCACAGACAGCCGGGUCAGAUGGGAGUGUACAUCGUCACCUGUGAUGAGAGUGAAUUAUGUCCCUGAGUAGGAAUGCAUUAACUGAGGUAUGUGAACUGUAAAAGGAAGGCAGGAUAUCAAUAUUAUUUAAUUCCAUUGGAACCCUCUUUGCAAUAAGAUUUGUUAAACACUUAAAGAAGGUGGACCAUUCAGUAAACCAUCCAAAACUACGAGGAGUUGUCCAGUCUCCCCCAUCACGUUGGAACACUUUAAGUAUAUCAUUAUUUUUUGCAUGAUCUCUGAAUAUUUUGCCCCUAAGUUCAAAGUAAAUGUAUUAUCAAAGUACAUAUCUACUACCCUGAGACUCAUUUUUUUUUAUAAGCAUUCACAGAAAAUACAAAUAAACACAAUAGAAUGAAUGAAAAACCACACACUAAUAAAGACGGACAAACAACCAAUGUGCAAGAGACAACAAAUUUCUCAAAUACAAAAGUAAAACAAAAUAAUAAAUAAUAUUGAGAACAUGAGUUGCAGAGUCUUUGAAAGUGAGCCCAUAGGUUGUGGAAUCAAUUCAGUGUUGUUUCAGGAGCCUGAUGGGUGUGGGGUAACCAGAUGACCUUUGAAUUGACUGAGCAUUUUCGAGGGUAGUUACCAGCCCACUGGUGGACCUACACUCAGCUGUAGGUCAAACCAGUUAAUUAUGGCAUAAUAAACACAAGAAAUUCUGCAGAUGCUGGAAAUCCAAAGCAACAUACACGGAAUACUGGAGGAACUCAGUAGGUCAGACAGCAGCUAUGGAAAAGAAUGAAGUGUCAACUGAUGGCACUGAUAGAAGAUUUUGGGCUGAAACAUUGAUUCUUUAUUCCUUGUCAUAAUUACAGAAUAUUUCCUUCCCUGAAAUUCAUUAAUGAGACAGCUGGUUUUUUAAGGGACAAUCCCAUCUUGUCACUGCUUUUUAGUGUAAACUUCCCAGAUACCAUGCUGGGAAUUGAACAGAGAACAUAGAACAGAGAGCACAGAACAGUACAGCACAAUAAAGGCCCCUCAACUCAUGAUGUUGCCUUCAGAACAGUAUAAGAAAAUGAAAACAGAAGUUAGAAUGAAAAUGCAAUGGAGAAUUAAAGGUAAGAAUGAUUGUUUGUCUUCUGCAAAGCAGAUACCAAAUCUGUGUUUGGUUUUAACCUACUCCUUUUAACAUUUUAACCUACUGCAAGAUCAAUUUAACCUUUCCCUCCUCCAUAGCCCUCUACUUUUCAUUCCUCCAUAUGCCUAUCUAAGAGUCUCUUAGAUGCCCCAAUGUAUCUGUCUCUACCACUACCCUGGCAGCAUACCCACCACUCUGUAAAAGUACCAAUCUCUGACAUCCCUCCCACACUUUCUUCCAAAAUCCUUAAAAUUAUGUCCUCUCACAUCAACUAUUUCUGCUCUGCAAAAAUGUCUCUGGCUGUCUACUCAAUCUGUACCUCUUGAAAACCUCCACCUAGUCUCCUCUCAUUCUCCUGGAGGCAGAUACAUUAGGAGAAUCUUAGAUAUCAUGGAUAAAAGUUCUUGUCUCCCUGAGCCUCAUAUACCUCUCAUAACUUUGUACACCUCUAUAAUAUCUCCCCUCAUUGUCAUGCUUGAGGGAUUAAAGUCCUAACCUAUUCAACCUUUCUUGUAGUUCAGAUCCUCAAGUCCCAGCAACAUUCUUGUAACUUUUCUCUGCACUCUUUCAAGUUUAUUGACAUAUUUCCUGCAGGAUGGUGACCAGAACAGAACGUAAUACUCCAAAUUAGGCAUCACCACUGUCUUAUACAACUUAAAUAUCACAUCUCAAAUCCUGUGCUCAAUCCCCUGAUUUAUGAAGGCCAAAGAAACAAAAGAUUAGAAGACCACAAGACAUAGGAGCAAUACUGUGAGAAGCUUGUGGAAGGCUACCCAAAACGUUUGACCCAAGUUAGACAAUUUAAAGGCAAUGCUACCAAAUACUAACAAAGUGUAAAAAAAAGACUUAGGAGCAGAAUUAGGCCACUUGGUCCAUCAAAUCUGCUCUGCCAAUCUAUCAAAGCUGAUUUAUUAUCCUUCUUAACCACAUUAUUUUGUUUUCUCCCCAUGUACAGAAGCCUGAAGGCACACACUCAAUGAUUCAGGAACAGCUUCUUCCCCUCUGCCAUCCGAUUCCUAAAUGGACGUUGAACCCUUGGACACUACCUCACUUUUUUAAUAUAUAUUAUUUCUGUUUUUUGCACAAUUUUUAAUCUAUUCAAUAUACAUAAACUGUAAUUAAUUUACUUAUUUAUUUAUGAUGAUGAUUAUUAUUUUAUUCUGUUCUUUUCUUCUAUAUUAUGUAUUGCAUUGAACUGCUGCUGCUAAGUUGACAAAUUUCAUGACACAUACCAGUGAUAAUAAACUUGAUUCUGAUUCUGA